UAGUCAUAUGCUUGUCUCAAAGACUAAGCCAUGCAUGUCUAAGUACAAGAACUUUCAGAUGUUCAGACUGCGAAUGGCUCAUUAAAUCAGUUAUGGUUCCUUGGACAGUAUCCCUUACUUGGAUAACUGUGGCAAUUCUAGAGCUAAUACAUGCAAGCAAGUUCCGACCUCGCUGGACGAGGGACGUUCGCAUUGUUUAGGCCCGCUUCUAGAGCGACUUCUGCCCACACUGCGUGGUCCUGUCGAGCAAAGGAGCGAACAGGGGGGGUUCUGCCUCUUCCCAGUACCUCCGGCGGUCUUCGUGGUGCCCGUGUGUGCGGUGGUGACCGCUCAAACUGUAAGCAAGCUGUUGACUCAGAAACACGUUGCAGAUCGCACAGCCCUCGCGCUGGCGACGAAUCUUUCAAAUGUCUGCCCUAUCACACUUUCGAUGGUAUGAGCUCGGCUUACCAUGGUGAUAACGGGUUACGGGGAAUCAGGGUUCGGUUCCGGAGAGGGAGCCUGAGAAAUGGCUACCACAUCCAAGGAAGGCAGCAGGCGCGCAAAUUACCCAAUCCCGACUCGGGGAGGUAGUGACGAAAAAUAUCAAGACGGUCCAUAACGAGGUCACGUCAUUGGAAUGAGUACAAAACAAACCUCUGUGCGAGGAUCAAUUGGAGGGCAAGUCUGGUGCCAGCAGCCGCGGUAAUUCCAGCUCCAAUAGCGUAUAUUAAAGUUGCUGCGGUUAAAAAGCUCGUAGUUGGAUCUCGGGGACGGGCUUGCGGUCCAGCGAGUAGGCCAACCCCUAAAGCACGCUGGUUCUUGCCGUAAGAGGGUGCCCGCCUCUCUCGCACUAUGUUGUGUUGGAGGCGGCGCUCUGAAUACCCGUCCCUUUCUUAGCUGGUUGUUUUUAGUUAAACCCACGACCACUGGAGCCCUUAAGUGUGGCACCGGAGGUGACCGGCGUGAUUACUUUGAAAAAAUUGGAGUGUUCAAAGCAGGCAAAACAAAGACGCCUGUACAGUGUUGCAUGGAAUAAUGGAAUAAGACCUCGGCCAUUUUACAGGACCUGGUCCUGAUCUGGCUCGAGGUGAUGAUUGAGAGGGGCGGCCGGGGGCAUUCGUACUGCGGUGGGAGAGGUGAAAUUCUUAGAUCAUCGCAAGACGAACUACAGCGAAAGCAUUUGCCAAGAAUGUUUUCCUUAAUCAAGAACGAAAGUCAGAGGUUCGAAGACGAUCAGAUACCGUCGUAGUUCUGAUAUUAAACGAUGCCAACUCGUCGUCCGCCUGUAGUCAAUUAAUGGAACAUGUCCAGGCGGGCGACCUCCGGGAAACCUAAGUGUUUAGGCUCCGGGGGGAGUAUGGUUGCAAAGCUGAAACUUAAAGGAAUUGACGGAAGGGCACCACCAGGAGUGGAGCCUGCGGCUUAAUUUGACUCAACACGGGAAACCUCACCCGGUCCGGACACUGUAAGGAUUGACAGAUUGAGAGCUCUUUCUAGAUUCGGUGGUUGGUGGUGCAUGGCCGUUCUUAGUCCGUGGAGUGAUUUGUCUGGUUGAUUCCGCUAACGGACGAGACUCUAGCCUGCUAAUUUAGGACAGAGGACGCUUUAAAUUCCUCUUGUCUGCUAACACUUCUUAGAGGGACAGGUGACGGCUCUAAGUCACAUGAGAUUGAGCAAUAACAGGUCUGUGAUGCCCUUCGAUGUCCGGGGCCGCACGUGCGCUACAAUGAAUGGCACAGCGAGCAGUACACCGUUUGGCGUCGGUAAAACGACGUUCUCAAACCGCCUCGCCCGAAAGGGUGCUGGGGAAUCUCUAAACACCAUUCUCGCUAGGGACUGGGGCUUGGCAAUUGUUCCCCACGAACGAGGAAUUCCAAGUAGGCGCUCGUCAAAAGCUAGCGUCGAUUACGUCCCUGCCCUUUGUACACACCGCCCGUCGCUAGUACCGAUAGCUCCUCAUGAUGAGCAUCUUGGAUGUGCCGCGUCCUCUGUGAGUAAGGGCUGGCCUUUCUGGUCUUCGGGCCUGGGUCGGUCCCCUUCAGAGUGUGCGCCGAGCGCCGAAGAGAAGCGAAUCGUUUGGAGUAGAGGUCCUAAAAGUCGUAACAAGGUAUCCGUAGGUGAACCUG
rnacentral:rRNA from 1 species